rnacentral:misc_RNA from 1 species
ACCUACUGUUUAAUUUUGAGGGUUCGUUUUUACGAAUACUCAAAAUUAGCACUUUAAGCAACGGAAUUUAUUCGUUGGCGCUGUGCUUUAGCACUUUUAGCAACAGAAUAAACCGAACGCAUGUGAAGUUUGUUUGUUGGCGCUGUGCGUUAGCACUUUGAAAACUGCAUAUAUAUUUAGUGAUAUGACAUCUAAUUUGUAAUAUAUAAAGCUGAUAACUUUUUAAAAUUAUCGAAGUUGAUAGCUUCUAAUCUAUCAAACAUUUUUAACUGGUCAA